GUAGGUGGCAAGCGUUGUCCGGAAUUAUUGGGCGUAAAGCGCGCGCAGGGCGGUCCUUUAAGUCUGAUGUGAAAGCCCACGGCUCAACCGUGGAAGGUCAUUGGAAACUGGGGGACUUGAGUACAGAAGAGGAAAGCGGAAUUCCAAGUGUAGCGGUGAAAUGCGUAGAGAUUUGGAGGAACACCAGUGGCGAAGGCGGCUUUCUGGUCUGUAACUGACGCUGAGGCGCGAAAGCGUGGGGAGCAAACAGGAUUAGAUACCCUGGUAGUCCACGCCGUAAACGAUGAGUGCUAAGUGUUAGGGGGGUUUCCGCCCCUUAGUGCUGCAGCUAACGCAUUAAGCACUCCGCCUGGGGAGUACGGCCGCAAGGCUG
rnacentral:rRNA from 1 species